rnacentral:rRNA from 1 species
GACGAACGCUGGCGGCGUGCUUAACACAUGCAAGUCGAACGGAAAGGCCCUGCUUUUGUGGGGUGCUCGAGUGGCGAACGGGUGAGUAACACGUGAGUAACCUGCCCUUGACUUUGGGAUAACUUCAGGAAACUGGGGCUAAUACCGGAUAGGAGCUCCUGCUGCAUGGUGGGGGUUGGAAAGUUUCGGCGGUUGGGGAUGGACUCGCGGCUUAUCAGCUUGUUGGUGGGGUAGUGGCUUACCAAGGCUUUGACGGGUAGCCGGCCUGAGAGGGUGACCGGCCACAUUGGUACUGCGAUACGGCCCAGACUCCUACGGGAGGCAGCAGUGGGGAAUAUUGCACAGUGGGCGGAAGCCUGAUGCAGCAACGCCGCGUGCGGGAUGACGGCCUUCGGGUUGUAAACCGCUUUCGCCUGUGACGAAGCGUGAGUGACGGUAAUGGGUAAAGAAGCACCGGCUAACUACGUG